rnacentral:tRNA from 1 species
GUGGGUAUAGCUCAGUGGCAGAGCACAUGCUUAGCACGCACAAGGGCCUGGAUUCAACUCCCAGCACUGCCA